UAGCACGAGCACGAGCACAAGCGCAAGCUAUUAUUUUAAAGUUUUUAAGGAACUCGAAAUACGGAAUUAAGACAUGUCGAAGAAAAGUAUAAUUACAGCUUUGCUCUUUGUUGCUCUUGUGUUUUGUUCAGCUGUUGUCGAGGGUGGCGACGUAGAAUGUUGUCGUGACAAUCAUAUUGGAGAAUGUAUCCCAGGAGAAGCAAGUGAAGAUAGGUGUAAUGGAUUAUGUAAUGACAAUGGAUGCUCUAAGGGUGGCUUUUGCAAAGUUCUUAAGCAAGAUCCUCCCAAUCAUUUUUGUCAUUGUCAAUGUUGAUCGAUCCAUCUUUUACGAUCUUUUGUUUAUUUUUACUUCCAAGAUAUAUUAGAGUAUUACUAUGUACGGACUACGGAGAAGAGGAUAAAUAAGGAAGUAUAAUAUCAUAUUUCAAUUUUAA